AAGAAAUGCCUUUGAAGCUUUUUGGCACUAACAGCCGUCCGCCAUCUUGUCUUCCUGCUCCAGGCCAGACAGCUCCCCUGCGGAACCAGGUAAGCACCUGGGAUUUUUACCUCCUGGCUGGGGGGGAAAUCAGAAAAUACUGGGCAUUUUAGGUAGCCAGUAUUUUCUGACCUUUUUUUAACUGGACAGGAGGCGAAAAUAUUGGACUGUCCGUGUCAAUACCAGACACCUGGCAACCCUAGUGACUCAGCUGACCCCACAGCGAUGCAGUAAGAAGCCUCCCUCCCAGGCAGGGGGAUAGGGAACAAAUAAAAAAAAUAUUCUCUUGCUUCUGACCUAGACAAGUAACUUUAGCAGGAUUGGUAACCAGGAAGUCUACAAAUGAGAGCCUUAUCCAGGGGAAAGUAGGAGAGGAAGAAUAGCCCAGGAGAAAAAUUCUACUAAUUUUGCCAUCUUUAAGCACCAAACAUGAUGUUGGAUAUCUUUUCUAAAGAUAAAGUAAAACACAAUGUCAGAGUGUCUAUGCAUACUAGUUGUGAUAUUGGACCAUACAACUAACGGUAAUGUACCUUAUUAUUAAAAAAUGGCUCAGAUUAAAAGGUAUGUGAAGUAAAUACAUAAAGAUUCUAUUGGUCUCUGUUUUGAGAAGCAGGAUACCACUUGCCUUGGAAAGCUCAGGAAUCAGAUUAAUAUGUUAAUGAAUACCCCAUUUUACUGCAUGUUGUUAUAUUCUACUGGAAGAUUUACCUAGUGUUGCUCGGGUCCUUAACUCAAUUAUUUUUUCUUAUUUAAAUCAUUCUUAAUGAACUGGAGUGGAGCUGGGAAUGAGGGGCUCAGUAUGCAGGCUGCCCGAGGGAGAGGGGACUACCCCAGAGCUCUCAUCACAGCAACUUGAAGACAGAAAAUAAGCUUGGAUCCCAAAGAUCGCGCCAAGGCAAUACCACCCCCACAGGAGACACAUUAUAUUUCCGGCCGACAAAAUGACCAUCAAUGCCUUUGUUUAUGUAGGCUUAUUUAGCUUGUGAGGAAUAACUAUCUGUAUUAGUGAUAAUAUGUUUAAUUGGUAAUGGGCGGAGAUGCUGUGUAACUGUUGUAGACCAUUGGCUUAUGUGCAUAUCUCACUUCCGCUGCUAGACCUAUCAAAUCACUUCUCCAUCCAUCUGCUACCUAUAUAAUCUAAUGUAUGUUUUGGUUAAAUUAGUGCUCACCUGGUUAACCCCUGAUGAGUACUCCACCAGCUGUGUGAACCAAUAAAUCCUCUCCUUGU